GACGGGGAAUGCAAGCGUUAUCCGGAAUCACUGGGCGUAAAGCGUCUGUAGGUGGUGAUGCAAGUCACUGGUGCAAAACUCUGGCUCAACCGGAGGAAAGCCAGUGAAACUGCAUGACUAGAGUGUGGGAGAGGUAGAAGGAAUUCCAUGAUUAGCGGUGAAAUGCGUAGAUACAGGGAAGAACACCGGAGGCGAAAGCGUUCUACUGGAACACAACUGACACUGAGAGACGAAAGCUAGGGGAGCGAAUGGG
rnacentral:rRNA from 1 species